rnacentral:rRNA from 1 species
UGGGGAAUAUUGGACAAUGGGCGAAAGCCUGAUCCAGCCAUGCCGCGUGUGUGAAGAAGGUCAUCGGAUUGUAAAGCACUUUAAGUUGGGAGGAAGGGCAUUAACCUAAUACGUUAGUGUUUUGACGUUACCGACAGAAUAAGCACCGGCUAACUCUGUGCCAGCAGCCGCGGUAAUACAGAGGGUGCAAGCGUUAAUCGGAAUUACUGGGCGUAAAGCGCGCGUAGGUGGUUUGUUAAGUUGGAUGUGAAAUCCCCGGGCUCAACCUGGGAACUGCAUUCAAAACUGACUGACUAGAGUAUGGUAGAGGGUGGUGGAAUUUCCUGUGUAGCGGUGAAAUGCGUAGAUAUAGGAAGGAACACCAGUGGCGAAGGCGACCACCUGGACUAAUACUGACACUGAGGUGCGAAAGCGUGGGGAGCAAACA